rnacentral:rRNA from 1 species
UACCAGCACCCCGAGUGGUCGGGACGAUUAUUGGGCCUAAAGCAUCCGUAGCCGGUUCUGCAAGUCCCCCGUUAAAUCCAGCUGCUCAACAGAUGGGCCGCGGAGGAUACUCCAGAGCUAGGAGGCAGGAGAGGCAAGCGGUACUCAGUGGGUAGGGGUAAAAUCCGUUGAUCCAUUGAAGACCACCAGUGGCGAAGGCGGCUUGCCAGAACGCGCUCGACGGUGAGGGAUGAAAGCUGGGGGAGCAAACCGG